UUCUCUUCAAUCAAUUAUAAAUAUAUUUCAUCUUGGCAAGAUACCUUAUUUAGAAAAGUUGAGUGUGGGAAAGGAUGAUGGUUAUAGCAGGAAUAUGAAGGUUGAAAUAUUGUUUCUUUUUAUAAUCAAGAGAAAUGGUGUAAUUGACCUCAUCAUAUCAGGAGCAGGGAGAAUCUGAAACAGUUUGAUAUGCAUGCAUUUCAUUGAGUCUACUAAGAGCACACUGACAUCAAAUUGCCCAGAGCUACAUAUUUAUUAUUGAGAAUUCAUAAUUCCAAUUCUGUUACUUAUUUUUUCUGGAUCUUGUGGAAUAAGGAUAAGGGAAGAUGAAGAUAACUAUAUUAAGUGCACCAAAAUGCUCUUUGUAUCACAACAAAGUGGAUGAUUUACUCCAUGCAGCUAAAGUCUCAGAAGAAAACAUGAAAUCACCUGUCUUCAAAGACCAUUUUUUCUGAAUAUAUUAGCUACCUAUAAAUAAAUAGUUUAAACUGUGAUGAAGGUAAACUUUAAAAGUUGCCUCUAGUUAAAAUUUUGGGAGAGACUGAGUAACUUGGCUACCAUCAAUUUCCUGAGGACUUGGCCAAAUUCUGCCUGCACUUUCAGCCUAACCUGCAGGGGGCAAUAGCUUGACACGAAUGACAACAAAGGCUGCUGAACUAUUAGACUUGAAUUUCUGACUAUGACCCUGGAAUGUUGUGUAGGUUGGAGAGAGUGCUUAAUUAAUGUAUAUUGAAACAAAAGAUCAGCUCGCAUCAGCUGAAGGCUAUCGCCUGGGACUCCUCGGAAGCGUGAGCAAGCCGCCACGCGAAGGCACUGGGGCACAGCCAGCGCGAGGCGCCGAGGUCCCUUCCCAGGGCUUGUUAACACUGUAACCCAGCACUCGGAGAGAAGCAGAAGCUCCCACUGCCCAGAGCCUACCUCACCGCACAUCAGAUGACUCCCUGGCUUCUACACACAGUUGGAGUUCCGCUUGAAACCUGGAUUUAGAGGGUAAGCACUUCAAUCGAGAUGGAUUUGUGACAGUUACUUUGCCAUACAGCAAGACAAAUCUCAGCAAACGUAAAGAAUGUAGGAUGUGUGGGAGAGGGAGACUAUGUUUACAUCGAAAAAUGUGUUUCUUUUUGUCUGAGAACGAGAGUGUUAUUCAGUAAAGAUGUGUAUACUCUUUUUCCAUUGAUUGUAAGAGUCGACUACCACCCUCCUGCCGAUUUUCUCUCUCUCCUUGGUG
rnacentral:lncRNA from 13 species